UUUAUAAAUUUACCUUGUUACACGCUCCCCUCCCCACCCACUUGGUUGUAAAUCAGAUAACAGGUCCUGUUACUAACUAGUUGUUUCGCUCAGUGGAAGUAAAUUCAAGAGGCAGCAAUUGUUCAGAGCACCUGACUUGCAAAGACUUCUCAUUGAGCUGUUUGGACAGACACAAAAAUUCUGGGCAGGGUUAGAGAGGAGGGCUUCCAAUGGCUUCAGACAAG